UGGUUUAUGUUGAGAUUUUGGUGCCCUUUAUACCAUUACUUUAAUCUUAUUUCUAACAAUGAAAAUGUAGGUUAUUUUAAGUUCAUUUCUUUAGGUUAAUUUUAGUUCAUUUAUUUAGUUUAUUUUUAAUAUUUGUAUUUCUUCACAAUAUUUUGUACAUCAUUCAAGUGGCUAUAUAGCUUAUUAAAACUGUCAAAGAAGUCUUGAUAUUGCAGUAGCAGGGGCUGUAAGUGUGUGUUUUGCAGUGGAGCAAGAAAAACGCAGAUGCUCCGACUUCCAGAGCCUCCUCGCUCCAGGUAAAACCACCCGACUCCACUCCCUUCUCUGCGGAAAGCACUAGCAGAAAGAAAGGAGGCCAAAGAGCAGGGCAGAUUCCAUUUUUGGUCAAUAGCCUUUGGGACUCAAAACAAGCUGGAUUCAUUCUUUAAUAUCCUGCCAAGCCUUCAGGUUUAUGCUGUGGACACAUUCAAUAUUUUUAGUGAGAUUUAUGCCUAGAACAGAACUU
rnacentral:lncRNA from 1 species